rnacentral:lncRNA from 1 species
AUGAUGAUUCCAUGCGAUUCCAUUAGAUGAUGACCCCUUUCAUUUCCAUUCAAUGAGGAUUCCAUUCGGUUCCAUUUGAUGAUGAUUCCUUUGAAUUCCAUUUGAUGACAAUUCCAUUCAAUACUAAUUGAUGAUGGUUAUUUUUGAUUCCAUUUGAUGAUGAUUACAUUCGAUUCCAUUUGAUCAUAAUUCCAUUCGAUUCCACUCGAUGAUUCCAUUCGAUUCCAUUCAAUGAUGAUUCCAUUCGAGUUCAUUGACUGUUCCAUUCCAUUCCACUCGAUGAUUCCAUUCGAGUCCAUUCGAUGAUUCUAUUCGAUUGCAUUCGAUAAUUCCAUUCGAUUGCAUUCGAUAAUUCCAUUCGAUUCCAUUGGAGGAUAAUUCCAUUUGAGUCCAUUCGAUGAUUGUUCCAUUCGAUUCUAUUCGGUGAUUCCAUUCGAUUCCAUUUGAUAAUGAUUCCAAUCGAGACCAUUUGAUGAUUCCAUUCAAUUCCAUUCAAUAAUGAUCCCUUUCGAGUCCAUUCAAUGAUUCCAUUCCAGUCCAUUCGAUGAUUCCAUCUGAUUCCAUUCAAUGAAUCCAUUCGAUUCCAUUCCAUGACGAUUCCAUUCAUUUCCAUCUGAUGAUGAUUCCAUUCGAUUCCAUUCAAUGAUACCAUUCGAUUCCAUUCGAUGAUGAUUUCAAUCAAUUUUAUUCGAUGAUUCCAUUCGAAUCCAUUCGAUGAUGAGUCCAUCCAUUUCAAUUUCAUGGUAAUUCCAUUCGUUUCAAUUCGAUGGUGUUUCCAUUUGAUUCAUUCGAUUUCGUUUCAUCAAUUGGUAUUGAAU